rnacentral:rRNA from 1 species
CCUACGGGAUGCAGCAGUAGGGAAUCUUCGGCAAUGGACGAAAGUCUGACCGAGCAACGCCGCGUGAGUGAAGAAGGUUUUCGGAUCGUAAAACUCUGUCGGUAGAGAAGAACGUUGGUGAGAGUGGAAAGCUCAUCAAGUGACGGUAACUACCCAGAAAGGGACGGCUAACUACGUGCCAGCAGCCGCGGUAAUACGUAGGUCCCGAGCGUUGUCCGGAUUUAUUGGGCGUAAAGCGAGCGCAGGUGGUUUAUUAAGUCUGGUGUAAAAGGCAGUGGCUCAACCAUUGUAUGCAUUGGAAACUGGUAGACUUGAGUGCAGGAGAGGAGAGUGGAAUUCCAUGUGUAGCGGUGAAAUGCGUAGAUAUAUGGAGGAACACCGGUGGCGAAAGCGGCUCUCUGGCCUGUAACUGACACUGAGGCUCGAAAGCGUGGGGAGCAAACAGGAUUAGAUACCCCUGUAGUC